rnacentral:rRNA from 1 species
AGAGUUUGAUUCUGGCUCAGGAUGAACGCUGGCGGCGUGCCUAACACAUGCAAGUCGAGCGAGAAAUACUUGAUUGAAACUUCGGUAGAUAGAUAGUAUGGAAAGCGGCGGACGGGUGAGUAACGCGUAGGCAACCUGCCCCUUACACAGGGAUAGCCAUUGGAAACGAUGAUUAAAACCUGAUGACACCGAGAGAUGACAUCUUCUUUCGGUCAAAGAUUUAUCGGUAAGGGAUGGGCCUGCGUCUGAUUAGAUAGUUGGUGAGGUAACGGCCCACCAAGUCAACGAUCAGUAGCCGACCUGAGAGGGUGAUCGGCCACAUUGGAACUGAGACACGGUCCAAACUCCUACGGGAGGCAGCAGUGGGGAAUAUUGCACAAUGGGGGAAACCCUGAAUGCAGCAACGCCGCGUGAAGGAUGAAGGUCUUCGGAUCGUAAACUUCUGUCCUAGAGGAAGAUAAUGACGGUACUCUUGGAGGAAGCCCCGGCUAACUACGUGCCAGCCGCCGC